UACGUAGGGCGCAAGCGUUGUCCGGAAUUAUUGGGCGUAAAGAGCUCGUAGGCGGUUUGUCGCGUCUGCUGUGAAAACUCGAGGCUCAACCUCGGGCUUGCAGUGGGUACGGGCAGACUAGAGUGCGGUAGGGGUGACUGGAAUUCCUGGUGUAGCGGUGGAGUGCGCAGAUAUCAGGAGGAACACCGAUGGCGAAGGCAGGUCACUGGGCCGCAACUGACGCUGAGGAAGCGAAAGCGUGGGGGAGCAAACAGG
rnacentral:rRNA from 1 species